rnacentral:rRNA from 1 species
UACAGAGGUCUCAAGCGUUGUUCGGAAUCACUGGGCGUAAAGGGUACGUAGGCUGCCGGAUAAGUCGUGCGUGAAAGGCAGGGGCUCAACCUCUGGAGUGCGCAUGAUACUGUUUGGCUGGAGUGAUGGAGGGGGAACUGGAAUUCUUGGUGUAGCAGUGAAAUGCGUAGAUAUCAAGAAGAAGACUCGUGGCGAAGGCGAGUUCCUGGACAUUCACUGACGCUGAGGUACGAAAGCAUGGGGAGCAAACAGG